GAUGAACGCUGGCGGCGUGCCUAAUACAUGCAAGUCGAGCGAACAGAUGAGGAGCUUGCUCCUCUGACGUUAGCGGCGGACGGGUGAGUAACACGUGGAUAACCUACCUAUAAGACUGGGAUAACUUCGGGAAACCGGAGCUAAUACCGGAUAAUAUAUUGAACCGCCUGGUUCAAUAGUGAAAGACGGUUUUGCUGUCACUUCUCGAUGGAUCCGCGCCGCAUUAGCUAGUUGGUAGGGUAACGGCUUACCACGGCGACGAUGCGUAGCCGACCUGAGAGGGUGGUAGGCCGCAGUGGAAGUGAGACGCGGUCCAGACUACUGCGGGAGGGAGCAGUAGGGAAUCUUCCGCAAUGGGCGGAAGCCUGACGGAGCAACGGCGCGUGAGUGAUGAAGGUGUUCGGAGCGGAAAACUCUGUUAUGAGGGAAGAACAAAUGUGUAAGUAACUAUGCAGGUCGUGACGGUACCGGAUCAGAAAGCCACGGCUAACUACGUG
rnacentral:rRNA from 1 species